rnacentral:misc_RNA from 1 species
GAUGAAGAACGCAGCGAAAUGCGAUAAGUAAUGUGAAUUGCAGAAUUCAGUGAAUCAUCGAAUCUUUGAACGCACAUUGCGCCCCUUGGUAUUCCGAGGGGCAUGCCUGUUCGAGCGUCAUUAUAACCCCUCAAGCUCAGCUUGGUGUUGGGGCCUGCUGCACUGGCAGCCCUUAAAAUCAGUGGCGGCGCCAUCUGGCUCUAAGCGUAGUAAUUCUUCUCGCUAUGGAGUCCUGGUGGAUGCUUGCCAUCAACCCCCAAUUUUUCUAUGGUUGACCUCGGAUAAGGUAGGGAUACCCGCUGAACUUAAGCAUAUCAAUAAGCGGAGGA